rnacentral:tRNA from 1 species
GCGUUCGUGGUGUAAUGGUCAACACACCUGACGUGUAUUCGAGAGGUCCGUGGUUCGAGUCCCGGUAAGGGCA